ACUGAACGCUGGCGGCAUGCCUUACACAUGCAAGUCGAACGGUAACAGGUCUUCGGAUGCUGACGAGUGGCGAACGGGUGAGUAAUGCAUCGGAACGUGCCCAGUAGUGGGGGAUAGCCCGGCGAAAGCCGGAUUAAUACCGCAUACGACCUGAGGGUGAAAGGGGGGGAUCGCAAGACCUCUCGCUAUUGGAGCGGCCGAUGUCAGAUUAGCUAGUUGGUGGGGUAAAGGCCUACCAAGGCAACGAUCUGUAGUUGGGCUGAGAGGACGACCAGCCACACUGGGACUGAGACACGGCCCAGACUCCUACGGGAGGCAGCAGUGGGGAAUUUUGGACAAUGGGCGCAAGCCUGAUCCAGCAAUGCCGCGUGCAGGAAGAAGGCCUUCGGGUUGUAAACUGCUUUUGUCAGGGAAGAAAUCUUCUGGGUUAAUACCUCGGGAGGAUGACGGUACCUGAAGAAUAAGCACCGGCUAACUACGUGCCAGCAGCCGCCGUAAAAC
rnacentral:rRNA from 1 species